UCUCUGCUGUUGGGAGAGUUGGGGUGAUCGUUUUCUGUUCGUCUAUGUUCUGGGCUGAUAGCGGAGAUGAAGCUUUUUUUCUCUCCUUUGGCAUCAUCCGUGAGCUUAGGUGUGGCUGAAGCUAGUGUAUUUUGGUUUGUGAUAUUGUAGCUGACCAUAUGCCUCCUACAAAUCAUUGAGGGGCCCUACUAUUUCUUUUUGAAAGGAGAGGCACACUGCAAUAAUCCUUUUUGAUGCUAUUUCUUCGAGUGAAAGAAAUAAAAAAACGGAGCAUUCGCGUUUGUUAUUCACCGACCUUGAGUUCUCUCUUCUCAUCACCAUCGAACUCCAUCUCUUCACCUUCGGCUUGCUCUUCCUCUCACCGGUGGCUGAACUGGUGCGUCUUGGCAGCUAGAAGUGGCUCACUAGAAUCUGUUCUUCCUUUGCUGUCAUCUUUUCGUUAUCC